UAAUUUUUAAAAAAAGAUGUAAAGUAAACAAUAAAUAUAGAGUUUUGCUAAUGAGACCAAGUGGUUGGUGGGAUAUAAAAAAAUUAAUAGAAGGACAACACCACCUAGGGGAAUUUCACCCCCAGGAAAUAUAAAAUUGUUUGGGAAUAAAAUGUAAUAAAAAAACAACAACGUUUGCACAGGUUAAGGGAUGCACACCGAGGCCGGCUCAAAUAUUAAUACAAUUUUAUUUAUUAGUAUAAAGCAAGAUAAAACAUCAACAAUGACAGAGCACUGAAUCUAGCGUCGUCUAAAACUGUGUCCCAAAUUACAAUAAGACUGGACCAUAGAACUGGGACUUACCAGCAGCGGUGGACCCAAAAAGAAAACCACAAAAAAACAAAACAAAACACUACAGUCUAUUCACAAAGGAAAUGUGGAAAACGACCCGCCACCAGAGGUCCCACGGCCGCUGGUGGGUCCUCAGUUCACUGAAAUAAGAGCACAAGACAGACAUUAAAAGAAUAAAACAUGGGACACCAAAUAACAGGCUCUCUCUAUAAAAUAAAAAGAAUAAAAGAAAAACUUAAAUCUUUAAUAAAACACAUGCACCCUUCUGGUCCAGAAGGGGCUCAAAGUAAAACCCAAAGCCUCAACGAGGCGAGGCAAAACAACAGGAGUAAAACAAGACAGCCAACAAAACAGAACACAAGACAAAACAAGACAGCAGCUCCACUGAGGAGGAGUCCUGAAACAGCAACUAGGCAGGUGGUUUUCUUUUUGGGUCCACCGCUGCUGGUAAGUCCCAGUUCUAUGGUCCAGUCUUAUUGUAGUUUGGGACACAGUUUUAGAUGACGCUAUAUUCAGUGCUCUGUUAUUGUUGAUGUUUUAUCUUAUUUUAUACUAAUAAAUACAAUUGUAUUAAUAUUUAAGCUGGCCUCAGUGUGCAUCCCUGAACCUGUGCAAACGUUGUUGUUUUUUUAUUACAUUUUAUUCCCAAACGAUUUUAUAUUUCCUGGGGGUGAAAUUCCCC
ensembl:lncRNA